CCUACGGGAGGCAGCAGUGGGGAAUAUUGCACAAUGGGGGAAACCCUGAUGCAGCGACGCCGCGUGGGUGAAGAAGUACUUCGUUAUGUAAAGCUCUAUCAGCAGGGAAGAAAAUGACGGUACCUGAGUAAGAAGCCCCGGCUAACUACGUGCCAGCAGCCGCGGUAAUACGUAGGGGGCAAGCGUUUUCCGGAUUUACUGGGUGUAAAGGGAGCGUAGACGGCCGUGCAAGUCUGGAGUGAAAGGCGGGGGCGCAACCCCCGGACUGCUCUGGAAACUGUACGGCUGGAGUGCAGGAGAGGUAAGUGGAAUUCCUAGUGUAGCGGUGAAAUGCGUAGAUAUUAGGAGGAACACCAGUGGCGAAGGCGGCUUACUGGACUGUAACUGACGUUGAGGCUCGAAAGCGUGGGGAGCAAACAGGAUUAGAUACCCGUGUAGUC
rnacentral:rRNA from 1 species